UUCUCUCUCGCCCUAAGCGCCGCUCCCCUGAAAUUCUUAUCUAGGGUUUUCUUUUGCCGCUCUCCGUCGUCUUCUGUCGCCGUUCUCUCCUACGUUUAAUGGUAGACGACGAUGGGUGGGUUAACCCUCGCCUCACCCUCACCCUUGUCUCGCCCCAUCGUCGGCCUUAUGCAGUUCGCUCUUCUCCUCGCCGCCCCCCACCGCGAUUGUCUCUGCAAGCGGUGGGCUUGCCGGCGGCGAGGCAAACGAGCAUCCCUCGGCCCCCCUUCCCCUCCCCAAGUGGAGGUAUGGUCAGUUACAGCGACCUCCUCCCUCUUCCUCCGUCCCACUCAUUCCUCAGCCACCUCCUCCUUCCUCCUCCGUCCCACUCC
rnacentral:lncRNA from 1 species